CAGCUCAUGAAACACAGACGCACCACACGUAACGGGAUGACGCAAUUCCGCCCUAGGGAGCUCCGUUUGUUUGGGAGCAAAUUAAUCUAAAGAACUCCCCCACAGAGUUGAACAAUUUUCAAAUAGCAUUUUCACAUAGCAUGAUAGCAUAGUUUCUCGGUCAUACUAUCCGAUAACCCUCCACCACUAGAGCCCUUCUCCAACUGUCUUGCAAUCUGAAUAAGGGCCAACCGCAGAUCUGCGUCUCGGACGGGCCGUACCUCAGCGGGGACUCGGGCCAGCCCAGCUCCAGCAUCGGGGGUUCCUCGUCGGACAUCAUGGGGAAGUAGGUCCCGGAGGUAAACGCUGUCAGGUGAUGCAGGACCGGAGGCAGAUGAGUGAACAUGAUGGACGGCAGAGAGCGUCAGAUGAUGUGUGGCCUGUCACGACAAGAGCCGGCCCGACCGAAGCAACCCAACCAGCCGAGUGAAUCUCAACCACAACACUAGACCAUAACCCUGUUGAGGCUGAAGGGAGUCGACAGAGGAACAUGGAGAGAGGGAUGGUGUUAAGUCACCAGAAGGAGCAGGUCUGGGCAGGCUGGUUGUGAGAGACGAUGGGAACAGCCCGGGGAAGAAAUUCGAUGUGACACACAUGAACAAACUGAAUCAAGAGAGCCGUUAUAAGCCUAUGGCCAUGUCUGAAACCGUUCACAAUAAAACACUAAUUUGGGCGUCAACA